GACGAACGCUGGCGGCGUGCUUAACACAUGCAAGUCGAACGCUGAAGCCUAGCUUGCUGGGUGGAUGAGUGGCGAACGGGUGAGUAACACGUGAGUAACCUGCCCUCUUCUUUGGGAUAACGCCCGGAAACGGGGUGCUAAUACAGGAUAUUCACUGAUUCUCGCAUGGGGGUUGGUGGAAAGGUUUUUUCUGGUGGGGGAUGGGCUCGCGGCCUAUCAGCUUGUUGGUGGGGUGAUGGCCUACCAAGGCUUUGACGGGUAGCCGGCCUGAGAGGGUGACCGGUCACAUUGGGACUGAGAUACGGCCCAGACUCCUACGGGAGGCAGCAGUGGGGAAUAUUGCACAAUGGGCGAAAGCCUGAUGCAGCGACGCCGCGUGAGGGAUGGAGGCCUUCGGGUUGUAAACCUCUUUCGCUCAUGGUCAAGCCGCAACGCUGGUUGUGGUGAGGGUAGUGGGUAAAGAAGCGCCGGCUAACUACGUGCCAGCAGCCGCGGUAAUACGUAGGGCGCGAGCGUUGUCCGGAAUUAUUGGGCGUAAAGGGCUUGUAGGCGGUUGGUCGCGUCUGCCGUGAAAUCCUCUGGCUUAACUGGGGGCGUGCGGUGGGUACGGGCUGACUUGAGUGCGGUAGGGGAGACUGGAACUCCUGGUGUAGCGGUGGAAUGCGCAGAUAUCAGGAAGAACACCGGUGGCGAAGGCGGGUCUCUGGGCCGUUACUGACGCUGAGGAGCGAAAGCGUGGGGAGCGAACAGG
rnacentral:rRNA from 1 species